rnacentral:lncRNA from 1 species
CAAGUUGCUUCCUCCUUCCUUUGUUCCUCUCUACCUUUGCCUCUUUUAAAAAGUUCUAAGUUUCUAGCCAAUCGGGACAAAUAGAGAAUGUGAGGUUCCGUUCCAGCCAGUGGAAGCCAGACACGGCAGUACGGUGGACGCAUCAGGUUAAACAUGGCCCUGUCACCUUUGUUCGGUAUAUUCUCGUGGAAAAACUGCUGAUACAGUGAGAAGUCGGCAGUCUGAAGCCUGGCAGAGGACCCUCACCAGAACUCAACCAUGCUGGCCGCCUGAUCUAAGGAAUUCCAGAGACCAAAAUUAUGAGAAACAAAUGUGUUAUGUGUAAGCCACCUAUCUAUGGUAAUAUGUCACAGCAGUCUAAGACAAGUGAAAUACAUGCAUUCAUUCAGAAAUAAAAAUAGUGAUAAUGAAAACAAAAGUUAUUAUUUUAAUCCCACUGAUAUGGUUUGAGUUUGUCUCCCCAUCCAAAUCUCAUGUCAAAUUGUAAUCACUCGUGUUGGAGGUAGGGCUUGGUGGGAGCUGAUUGGAUCAUGGGCACAGAGUUCUCUUGAAAGCGUUAGCAUCAUCCCUGAGGUGCUACUCUCUUGAUAGUGAAUGAGUGAGUUAUCAUAGGUGCUACUCUCUUGAUAGUGAAUGAGUGAAUUAUCAUAGGUGCUACUCUCUUGAUAGUGAAUGAGUGAGUUAUCAUGAGAUCUGGUUGUUUAAAAGUGUGUCGCACCUACCCUGUCUUCC